rnacentral:miRNA from 1 species
UAGUAUUUUUGUUUUCUUUU